rnacentral:rRNA from 1 species
CAGUAGCCGCGGUAAUACGAAGGGUGCAAGCGUUAAUCGGAAUUACUGGGCGUAAAGCGUGCGUAGGCGGUGAGUUAAGUCUGCUGUGAAAUCCCCGGGCUCAACCUGGGAAUGGCAGUGGAUACUGGCUCGCUAGAGUGUGUCAGAGGAUGGUGGAAUUCCCGGUGUAGCAGUGAAAUGCGUAGAGAUCGGAAGGAACAUCUGUGGCGAAGGCGACUAUCUGGGCCAUUACUGACACUGAGGCACGAAAGCGUGGGGAGCAAACAGGAUUAGAUACCCGUGUAGUCCCUGUCUCUUAUAC